GACGAACGCUGGCGGCGUGCUUAACACAUGCAAGUCGAACGGAAAGGCCCUGCUUUUGUGGGGUGCUCGAGUGGCGAACGGGUGAGUAACACGUGAGUAACCUGCCCUUGACUUUGGGAUAACUUCAGGAAACUGGGGCUAAUACCGGAUAGGAGCUCCUGCUGCAUGGUGGGGGUUGGAAAGUUUCGGCGGUUGGGGAUGGACUCGCGGCUUAUCAGCUUGUUGGUGGGGUAGUGGCUUACCAAGGCUUUGACGGGUAGCCGGCCUGUGAGGGUGACCGGCGACAAUGGGACUGAGAUACGGCCCAGACUCCUACGGGAGACAGCAGUGGGGAAUAUUGCACAAUGGGCGGAAGCCUGAUGCAGCAACGCCGCGUGCGGGAUGACGGCCUUCGGGUUGUAAACCGCUUUCGCCUGUGACGAAGCGUGAGUGACGGUAAUGGGUAAAGAAGCACCGGCUAACUACGUG
rnacentral:rRNA from 1 species